AGUAAACUAUGAAACUGCAAUAUAGAGACAUAUUGACAGGCCACUACAUAUCUGCUAUAUUCCAUGUUAGAGACAUGAUGACAUAGGGAUAGGCCAUUGGGAUACUUGACACAUUCCAUGUUAUUAGACAUGAGGACUUGGUACUUGCGACAGAUCGUUCGACUACUUGCCAUUGUGCUCAUUCGCACAUGCUUGUGAGGGUCGCUCCCUACAAGCCGGCACUCCGGAGAUGGCCAUCGCGAUUCAUAUUCGCCGUGCGGGAUUGGGCGCCGAAGUGGAUUGCCGUGGGCCAGGCUUAUUCCUAGGGUGGGGAUGUUGACUACCACGGGGCCAUUAGGCUCGGCACCGGCCAGACAGCCUACGGGUGGGUCUCAGGGCCAUAGACAGCCUUCGGGUCGGUCUCUUCAGAUUUGACUUUAUAUACCCAUUAUGACGUGUGGACAGAUGAGGACUUAGUGUACUACUUGGACAUUGACUAGAAUAGUAAACAAAGGAACUUUACUAUUUCACAUUGUGAACAUCAUGCUAGUUGGAGACUUUUACUUCAUGCAUAGUUGUUUUCAUACUUAUGCUAUUUAUACUAAGUAGAGAUAUCAUGUUGUAGUAAGUUACAUUUUUACUUGCCUUUCAUUUUCCUACAUUUAUAGUCACUGACAUCUAUUGUAGCUUUGGGCCUUGUGGUGCAUUCACUGAAGUCAGUAAUUGCCCACUGGGAACUAUUCUUAAUAGUUCUCACGCCCCUGUUUCUAUGUUUCCUUUUCAGAGCCUUCGGCACCGGCGGAGGCACGGGAUCGCGGCAAGGGUGUCGCGUAGCUAGCUCGCGGAGAGUUUCUGUUGCCUAGGUGGUUUACUCCUCCAUUUUAUAUUUUGAGAGAGUGUGAGGCUUUUGUAUCCAUGUAUAGAGACCACCUGUGUACCUACCUAUAGCACUUGUAUUUGGGAUCCCUAUUGUGCUUACUUUAUGUUUUAUUUAGUGGAUUUACAGUUUUAUCCUUAUCCCUUGUUGUAGCAUUUAGACAUUUAUUAUGCUCUGAUACUCCUAGAUGUCUUUUAUUAUUGCUUUUAUUAUUGUUGUUUUUAGACGCCUUAUAUGUUGUAGACAUAUGGCGGGUCUGGGCACG
rnacentral:lncRNA from 1 species